GCCAGAAUGGCAUAGUGGUUAAGUGUUGGACUAGGACACUAUAGAGAUCAGGGUUCGAAUCCCAGCUCAGCCA